rnacentral:rRNA from 1 species
CACGUAGGCGGAUCGGUAAGUCAGAUGUGAAAUCCCGGAGCUCAACUCCGGAACUGCAUUUGAUACUGCCAGUCUUGAGUGAGGUAGAGGGGGGUGGAAUUCCCGGUGUAGAGGUGAAAUUCGUAGAUAUCGGGAGGAACACCAGAGGCGAAGGCGACCCCCUGGGCCUUUACUGACGCUGAGAUGCGAAAGCGUGGGGAGCAAACAG